rnacentral:rRNA from 1 species
UACGUAGGGGGCAAGCGUUGUCCGGAUUUAUUGGGCGUAAAGAGCGUGUAGGCGGCCAGGUAGGUCUGCUGUGAAAACUCGAGGCUUAACCUCGAGCUGUCGGCGGAAACCAUCUGGCUAGAGUCCGGAAGAGGAGAAUGGAAUUCCCGGUGUAGCGGUGAAAUGCGCAGAUAUCGGGAAGAACACCCGUGGCGAAAGCGCUCUGCUGGACUGCAACUGACACUGAGGGACGAAAGCUAGGGGAGCGAACAGG